GAAGAGAGAGUAAACAGUACGGAAAACCGCAUGGAGGUAAACGGGUGGCGUCAAGCUGCAAGCCGGGAGAAUUCAGUCGGUCAGGUUGUUGUGUAUGUGCCUAGCGCAUUUAUCAGUCGGUCGGGCUAGUCCGUGCGUCAAAUACGGACCUGCUUGCAGGAUUUGCUGUCCACUUUGGUUGGUGGAGCAAACUGGCUCGGCUACUGGAUUGUCUGAUCGAUGCACUUUCUCCAUGGUGGACACCACGACCGGUGGUACUGCCAGUCUGCUUUGGUCAAGUCCUUGCUCUCCUCUCCUCGUGUCAGGUCGCUUGGAUCACAUGCAAUUUCAGUGCACGGUGCUUGAGUCUUUCGGGGCUUGAGCAUGUUAUCGGACAUUGGUUGUAAACGAAGUGUGCGUAGUUGGUUGUAAACUGCUGCGUGCCUUUGGUGGGCCUUAGUGGUAUGAAUAACUGUGCAGGGCAUCGUUGUUAUCGGUCUCUAAUUCUGGUCUCCGCACACUUUACAAGUGGUCGCGUAGGCGUUGUCCGGGCUUGCCCGUGCUUCGAUCUGAUUGUCGUGUCGCCUGCAUAAAGU
rnacentral:rRNA from 1 species